GAUGAACUGAGGGUAGCGGAGAAAUUCCAAUCGAACCUGGAGAUAGCUGGUUCUCUCCGAAAUAGCUUUAGGGCUAGCCUCAAGUGAUGAUUAUUGGAGGUAGAGCACUGUUUGGACGAGGGGCCCCUCUCGGGUUACCGAAUUCAGACAAACUCCGAAUGCCAAUUAAUUUAACUUGGGAGUCAGAACAUGGGUGAUAAGGUCCGUGUUCGAAAGGGAAACAGCCCAGACCACCAGCUAAGGUCCCAAAAUAUAUGUUAAGUGGAAAAGGAUGUGGCGUUGCCCAGACAACUAGGAUGUUGGCUUAGAAGCAGCCAUCAUUUAAAGAGUGCGUAAUAGCUCACUAGUCGAGUGACACUGCGCCGAAAAUGUACCGGGGCUAAACAUAUUACCGAAGCUGUGGAUUGUCCUUUGGACAAUGGUAGGAGAGCGUUCUAAGGGCGUUGAAGCAUGAUCGUAAGGACAUGUGGAGCGCUUAGAAGUGAGAAUGCCGGUGUGAGUAGCGAAAGACGGGUGAGAAUCCCGUCCACCGAUUGACUAAGGUUUCCAGAGGAAGGCUCGUCCGCUCUGGGUUAGUCGGGUCCUAAGCUGAGGCCGACAGGCGUAGGCGAUGGAUAACAGGUUGAUAUUCCUGUACCACCUAUAAUCGUUUUAAUCGAU
rnacentral:rRNA from 1 species